UACGUAGGGUGCAAGCGUUAAUCGGAAUUACUGGGCGUAAAGCGUGCGCAGGCGGUUCGUUAAGUUCGAUGUGAAAGCCCCGGGCUCAACCUGGGAACUGCAUUGGAAACUGGCGAGCUUGAGUGCGGCAGAGGGGGGUGGAAUUCCUGGUGUAGCGGUGGAAUGCGCAGAUAUCAGGAGGAACACCGGUGGCGAAGGCGGGUCUCCG
rnacentral:rRNA from 1 species